AUACUCUGGUUUCUCUUCAGAUCGUGUAAACCUUUCGCCUUUUACUCAAGAUUUCUGUGGAGAGGAACAUUCAUGAGUUUUGUACUAAUUUUUUGAGGAAUUAGCCACCCAGAGUCC